GGUUGUCCUCUUAAGAUCCUGUAAGAUAUUGCGUUAGAAUAAUAUUCCCUUUUCCGUCCCUUUUCCGAAAUACAUUAGUCUUUAGUCCUUUAUUCGAUCGUGUAUGAGUGUGAACUUAUAUCUGUCGACUUAUAUAUAUAUUUAUAUAUAUAUAUAUAUGCAUAUGUAAGCAUUUUACUUUCUACCCACAAUUUGCAACUCUGAAAAAUUCUAAUAGGUUAUGGAGCCAGAUAAUCAGCGAUCCAUCAUCGAUCAUCAAUGAUCGUCAUGAAGGAAAAAGAAAAAAAGAGGAGUAAGUAGAAAAAGAAUAAAAAUUAGAAGAAC